rnacentral:lncRNA from 1 species
UGAUAACUAACAUCCUUGUAGUGGAGCCUAAAAAAUGCAGUGGAAAAUUUUUCCCCAGAAGGCUUUAUUCUUGGAUAAAAGGAUACACACAUGCAGCGUGCACCUGAAGGUUGUGACACUGUAUGAACAUGUACACGCAUGAAGAUGGUGCAGCUUCCAACAUCCAACAAAUACUAACUGGUAUUUGACUUGCCUUAGGACAACCAAGUGAUCUCUUGAGGUGCCUUCAAGCUUUCUGCAAGAGCCAUAUCUUAAAGAGAUUCUAACAGAAUCCUUGCAUUACUCCAAAGGUUUCCAUUACACACCUGCAGUUUUGUUUGGACCUCUGUUUAAAAUCCUAGCAGAAAGCUGCGAGGGAUAUGGAUGAUAAUUAUUUGUAAGUGCAAACUUCAGAAAAACCUUGCUAAAGCCAUUUUUUUCCCAAAUAGGAACGUGUCCAUAGACCUGACCUUCAAAAUCUUGCGACUUAAAAUACUUUUAACGCCUGUAUUAUUCUGGAAAUGUGAAUCCACAAUGCAGCUGUGGUGAGAUGGAUGUGCUCGCCAGAAUGAACACACUGGAAAAACGAGAAGGGCAUAAAUAGCAACU